CCUACGGGAGGCAGCAGUGAGGAAUUUUGCGCAAUGGGGGAAACCCUGACGCAGCAAUGCCGCGUGAGUGAAGAAGGCCUUCGGGUCGUAAAGCUCUGUCAGAUGGGAAGAAAUGAGUGUACAUUAAUAGUGUACGUUUUUGACGGUACCCUCAAAGGAAGCACCGGCUAACUCCGUGCCAGCAGCCGCGGUAAU
rnacentral:rRNA from 1 species